AGUCAGCAGAUGACCCUGUGCUCACACCUUGUGCACAUAGGAUGUGCAGGGAAUGCCUUUUGUCAAGCUGGCUUACACAUAGCUGUGGCCUGUGCCCAAUCUGUCGCCAAAUGCUGAGGAAAACCGAUCUUAUUACCUGCCCAACAGAAAGCCAGUUCAGAGUUGAUGUAGAAGAGAACUGGAAGGAAUCUUCAAAGGUGUCGAAACUUUUAGAUUGCCUGGAAAAAACUCGGCAGUCAUGCUCUGGCGAGAAGAGCAUUGUAUUUAGCCAAUGGACUUCGUUUUUGGAUCUCUUGGAGAUACCGCUAAAGAGAAGAAAAUUUGGGUACCUGAGAUUCGACGGGAAACUGUCGCAGAAGCAAAGGGAGAGGAUCUUGAAGGAGUUCAAUGAGACAAAUGACAAAAUGGUAAGACUGAUUAGAACAGCUUGUGAUUAUCCUGCUGUGACACUUGACCAGUUGUUUGUGCUG
rnacentral:lncRNA from 1 species